UGCCAGCCGCCGCGGUAAUACGGGAGUGGCAAGCGUUAUCCGGAAUCACUGGGUUUAAAGGGUGCGUAGGCGGUUAAUUAAGUCAGAGGUGAGAUCUGGUCGCUCAACGAUCAAAUUGCCUUUGAAACUGACUAACUUGAAUCAGGUUGAGGUUGGCGGAAUGUGACAUGUAGCGGUGAAAUGCAUAGAUAUGUCAUAGAACACCAAAUGCGAAGGCAGCUGGCUAGACCUGCAUUGACGCUGAGGCACGAAAGCGUGGGGAGCGAACAGGAUUAGAUA
rnacentral:rRNA from 1 species